rnacentral:lncRNA from 1 species
AUAUUACUGGUAGUAUGUGUGAGAUACUGUAUGCUAAAUAAAGACCAGAAAGUUAGAAAUAUGACAUGCUAGUGAAUAAGAAUACUUCAAGUUAUCUUUAUUAACAUGUACAGUACAUAAUUCAAAAAUAUUUAUAACUGUUUCAACUGUUAGCACAGACAUGAUACUGUAAUUCCUUUCAAUGUGUGAAAGCUUUCAAAAAUUCAAUAUAGUUGCUUACAAAUUAUCCAUCCUUGUAUAUUGAUUAAGCCAACACUAGUAGACUGCGAAAUUAAGAGAUUAGACAAGCCUCCUGACACUGAGCGGUAGGUCUAUGUAAACUUUCGUUUUAGCUGUUAUCUUUAUUUUACGUCGCCUGAGCAAAAUCCAUUCGAUAUCACUUAAUUAAAUCUUAUACAAGAAGUAUUUUAACAUAUGUCAACAGAAAGAAAUUGACCAGUUUGCCUUUGCCAAUCUGUUAAUUCGAACGUGAUUUUCUCAUUGAAGGUUUGUUUCGCACAUUGACCAGUCCCCAUCGAUUGUUUCCGCAAUAAUCCACAACAGUUUUCUAGUUCACAAGAUGAAAAAUUCGCCCUAACAGAUUUUGCAAUUCACUCCUAAUCGCCGCCAUCUUGAAUUUUUUCUAUGCUCAUGGGCAAGACCGCUGAACUUCAUGAUCGGCAGUUUGGCCGAUUUCGCAACAUUUU